UACGUAGGGCGCAAGCGUUGUCCGGAUUUAUUGGGCGUAAAGAGCGUGUAGGCGGCCAGGUAGGUCCGUUGUGAAAACUGGAGGCUUAACCUCCAGCUGUCGAUGGAAACCAUCUGGCUAGAGUCCGGAAGAGGAGAGUGGAAUUCCUGGUGUAGCGGUGAAAUGCGCAGAUAUCAGGAGGAACACCGGCGGCGAAGGCGGCACUCUGGGCCGGUACUGACGCUGAGGAGCGAAAGCGUGGGUAGCAAACAGG
rnacentral:rRNA from 1 species